UUUUUAAAAAAAUGUCAGAUGUUGUUUAUUUUCUUAAAAUCUGAAAUCUGAACAUCUGAGAGUCAUUAUUUCUUUUGAAAAAAAAUUGAGAGUUAUUAUUUCUGGGAGUUAUUAUUUCUUUUGAAAAUUUUAAAAAAGUUUGGAAAAAAUUUGAAAUCUGAGAGUUAUUAUUUCUUUUCUUAAAAUUUUGGAAAAUUUGAAAAAUUUGAAAAUCUUAAUGAAAUUUCAGAUGUUGUUUUAGUUA
rnacentral:lncRNA from 1 species